rnacentral:rRNA from 1 species
UACGUAGGGUGCAAGCGUUGUCCGGAAUUAUUGGGCGUAAAGAGCUUGUAGGCGGUUCGUCGCGUCUGCUGUGAAAUUUCGGGGCUCAACCCCGAACUUGCAGUGGGUACGGGCAGACUAGAGUGUGGUAGGGGAGACUGGAAUUCCUGGUGUAGCGGUGAAAUGCGCAGAUAUCAGGAGGAACACCGAUGGCGAAGGCAGGUCUCUGGGCCAUAACUGACGCUGAGAAGCGAAAGCAUGGGGAGCGAACAGG